AAAAACACGUAAGGGCGUAUGGCGGAUGCCUUGACACAAGAAAACGAUGAAGGACGUAGUAUAGCUGCGAUAAGCUUCGGGGAACCGCUAAACAGGUUGUGAUCCGAAGAUGUCCGAAUGGGGAAACCCGCAUGAAUUAAUCUUCAUGCAUCCAUGCCCGAAUAUAUACGGCAUGAGAAGGAGACCAGGCGAAGUGAAACAUCUCAGUAGCCUGAGGAAAAGAAAGAAAUACGCGUGUGUUGCUAUUUUGUCGAUAGAAAUAUUUGCGAAUUAGCAGCAUAACUCGAUUCCCCCAGUAGUGGCGAGCGAAAAGGGAAGAGCCCAAACCUGGUAAUUUAUUUUGCCGGGGGUUGUAAGACAGCGACAUGGAGCAAUCCGAGAAGCUAACAACUUAUAUCUUGGUUAAUCGAACAGGCUGGAAAGCUUGGCCGAAGAGGGUGAAAGCCCCGUAGGUAAAAACUGAUAUAGGCUUUUUGUCACUGAUCUUGAGUAGCAUAAGACCAGAGAAAUCUUAUGUGAAGCAGGCAGUCCUACUAAAACGGCUUCGGCCGUCUGCCAAGGCUAAAUAUUUCUUGUGAUCGAUAGUGAACUAGUACCGUGAGGGAAAGGUGAAAAGUAUCCCGAAAGGGAAGUGAAAUAGACCUGAAACCAUACGCUUACAAAGAGUGGGAGCCUGCCUUCGGGCGGGUGACCGCGUGCUUUUUGUAGAACGAGCCAGCGAGUCUACUGUAUGUUGCAAAGUUAAGUCCGACAGGACGGAGCUGAAGUGAAAGCGAGGAUUAAUAGUCCGUCAAGUAGCAUACAUAGUACACGAAACCAGGUGAGCUUACCAUGGUCAGGGUGAAGCUGUGAGAAUAUCGCAGUGGAGGCCCGCACACACCAGCCGUGUAAUACUGGGUGAUGAACUGUGGUAAGGGGUGAAAUUCCAAUCGAACUUGGUGAUAGCUUGUUCUUCCCGAAAUAGCUAUUGGGCUAGCGCCGCAUUUACCUGCUAGAGGUAGAGCACUGUCAGGAGCUGGGGGGGAAACCUACCCUCUCCUAGCAAACUUCGAAUACUAGCCAGUCAAAUGUGCGGCAGUCAGUACUGCGGUGAUAAGAUCGUGGCACAAAAGGGAAACAGCCCAGAUCGUAGUCUAAGGUCCCUAAAUCCAUAUUAAGUGGUAAAGGAGGUAAUUUUCCUAUGACAGGUAGGAGGUUGGCUUAGAAGUAGCCAUCCUUUAAAGAUAGUGUAACAACUCACUUCUCGAUUAUGGAAAGUUGCACCGAAAAUUCAACGGGGCUAAAAUAUGGUACCGAAGACACGGGUUCUAGCGCAAGCUAGAGCGGUAGGGAAGCGUUCUAUGCGCGCUGAAGCUGUACUCGCGAGAGACGGUGGAGCGCAUAGAAGUGAGAAUGCUGGCAUGAGUAAUAAAAAAUUACGUGAGAUUCGUAAUCACCGAAAAUCCAAGGUUUCCUGGGCAACGGAUGUCGCCCCAAGACGAGGCCGAAAGGCGUAGCCGAUGGACAGCUGGUUAAUAUUCCAGCACUACCUUUUUCGCAUAGAUAAGGGAGGACGGAACAUGGUAAUCUGAGCGCAUUAUUGGAUUUGCGUUAAUGGCUUGUAGGCUUGCUUUCCAGGCAAAUCCGGAAAGCUCCAAGGUCGAGAGCCGUUUAGACUUUCCCCCUCAGGGGAGAUAAUUCAGAUGAGCCAAGUUUCCAAGAAAAAUCUCUAUUCUUAGUAAAAGGUAUCCGUACCAAAACCAACACAGGUGGAUAGGUCGAGCAGACCAAGGUGAACGGGAGAACCCUCGUUAAGGAAUUCGGCAAAACAGCGGCCGUAACUUCGGGAUAAGGCCUCCCGGUUCCGGUUUUCCGGGACCGGGCGCAGUUAAAGACUCAGAGCGACUGUUUAACAAAAACACAGGUCUCUGCUAACUCGCAAGAGGACGUAUAGGGGCUGACGCCUGUCCAGUGCCAGAACGUUAAGGUUUGGGGUGAGAGCUCUGAACUUAAGCGCUGGUGAACGACAGCAAUAACUAUAAUUGUUCUAAGGUAGCGAAAUUCCAUGUCAUCUAAUUAGUGACGCGCAUGAAAGGCGUAACGACUUUGAGACUGUCUCAACGAGGGACCCGGUGAAAUUGCAAUAUCGGUAAAGACGCCGAUUACCUGCAGCAGGACGAAAAGACCCCAUGAAGCUUUACUAUAGCUUGAUAUUGGGUUGCGAGUUUGGAUGUUCAGUAUAGGUGGGAGGCUAUGAGGCCCUGACGCCAGUCAGGGCGGAGCCGGAAUGUGAGAUACCA
rnacentral:rRNA from 1 species